ACAGCCUGGGUAGAGAAAUACUGCGUCUGCUAGGGCUCUAUGGCACCUUUUUGGAUUUCCUCAGUGAGCCCCUACAUGUCAACGAGCUAAAUGUCUGGAAAUAGGAGCCGCUUUCAGGACUCAUAUUAUCUGAUGGCUGCCAGCAGGAGGAUGUUUAUGUAACACUACGUGGUGCCAGGCUGGCACAGAGUCAAACCAGGAACCUUCCAUUGACGAGAAACAACUGACAAGCCAUGGACUGAUGAUAAACGGAGGCUGCUGGUCUUCUCAUUCCCCCUAUCCCCUUCCUCCCCUUGUCAUUAUUUGACUAGAGUGAUAGUAGAUUAUGUUGUAGUGUCUGUUGUCCUGGCUUUAAUCCUUCCUUUUCAGUGAAGUCCUCUCUCAGUGUCAGGACAAGCAGAGACAAUACAGAUGCUCUUGUUAUCUAUUCACUAUGCAAAUCUUUCAGUCGUUAAUGCUAGAUCGGUUUACUGCUUUGUUUCAGCAGCAGGAUAGAAAGGGAGUGUUAAAAGACAGAUGAAGAGGCAGACAGAGCAGGAACCAGGUUUCAGCGAGUCUAACAGGAUUAUUAUUCAAUGCUCAAUCUGAGCCUGCACAGAACAAUAACAGAUCAGAUCUGUGCAUGGAAAAGAGAUGUGACACAGUCCAGCCCUCUGAGGAACGAGAACCUAGCAAUUCAGGAAAGAGUUCAAACGUGCAAAAGCGCCGCCGUUUCAGACCUGCCGUCGUCUUCUUUCUUCAUUCAUAACCACACAUCGCCUCCCUAACAAAGAGAGAGUGACGGAGUGUAGAGGAGAGCUGGAUAGAGCCCUCAUGCUGUCUUCAGGAAGUAGAUGGAAGAGAUAGCGGAUUGAUAAAAAGGUUUUGUGUGGAGAAAAAAAGCCCCCACUUGACCCCAUAUCAGAGCGUGUUUUACAGGAACUAGUGCAGACCUUCAUAACAAAAACGUGACGGCAGGAAGUGGGGUUCAGUAAAACGGUAAUUUCAGAAGACUAUACUGAUGAAGAGCGGAAGAGAGCAAGGACGAGAUAAAAUCAGAAUGAUACAUUCUGCGCAAGAAAAUGAGCCGCUAGGUGCUAAAACACACGCUAUGAAUAAACAAACAAAAUCCAUGAGGAAUACUCUCAUAUAGAGAAAUAAAUAAAUUGAUAACGUACUAUUGAUAAUAACAUCAUUUCGUAUGCGUGUGGAGAUACUUUAUAUCUUGGUAAGGCCUUAAUGUCCCUAAAAAUAUAGAAAUAAUUAGCAGUUUUGACCUUGUGGGGACAUUUGGUUGGUCCAUGAGUUGGUCCAAAACUGCAGCUUUUAUUUGAGAAACUAACAGAAUCAAAAGAUUUCCUAGCUGAAUUAAUCAUUUAUAUUCCUUUUAAAAAUAGUAUAUAUUUUAUUAGGUAUUUAUAAAUUAUUAUCUAUAUAUUAUUUUUUCACAGGGGCCAUUGGUACAGAAUCUAAGACUAAUAAUAAAUGGGUUAAGAAAAAGUGUUGAAAAUGUGCUAAGACAAAUAUAUGGUAAAGCUUUCUAUAAGCAGACAUUUAUUUAACAUUUAUGUAAGGCCAGUGCUUUGUAAUGGUCAGUGAAUACACCACUGGAAAGUAUAAAUUAUAUUUUCUUUUUUAAAUUGCCAAGCUGCAUUUUUUUUUUAUUUUUAAUCAUCUGAUUAACUUCAACAAAGAGAAAAACGGAGAGAAAGAGAGGCUGGUGAUUUAUUACUGCUAUAAUGUAACUGAUAACAGGAACUAACAUUUUUCUGGACUUUCUACAUCAUUUAAUGUAAAUAGAAAGUGUUAUUCGAUAAUAAAUAAUAAAAAAAAAAUUGCAAUCUUUGGCAAACUGAUGUGAUAUAUGAGCAAUAAAAAACUUU